rnacentral:rRNA from 1 species
GUAGGAGAGCGUUCUGUAAGCCUGUGAAGGUGGCUUGUAAAGGCUGCUGGAGGUAUCAGAAGUGCGAAUGCUGACAUGAGUAGCGUUAAAGCGGGUGAAAAGCCCGCUCGCCGUAAGCGCAAGGUUUCCUACGCAACGUUCAUCGGCGUAGGGUAAGUCGGCCCCUAAGGCGAGGCAGAGAUGCGUAGCUGAUGGGAAGCAGGUCAAUAUUCCUGCACCGAUUACAAGUGCGAUGUGGGGACGGAUCUUAAUAGGUUAUCCGGCGGUUGGAAGUGCCGGUUUAGACAGAAGUAGGCGAGAGUUAGGCAAAUCCGGCUCUCAUAUACCGAGGCUGUCGAUCGAGCGAACUUGUUCGCGAAGUAACCAAACGGGGUCCCAGGAAAAGCCACUAAGCUUCAGCUUGUAAUCGACCGUACCGCAAACCGACACUGGUGCGCGAGAUGAGUAUUCUCAGGCGCUUGAGAGAACUCGGGAGAAGGAACUCGGCAAAUUGACACCGUAACUUCGGAAGAAGGUGUGCCCUAGUAGCGUGUAGUGAACAACGAAGCGCGAAUGGGUUGCAAAAAAUAGGUGGCUGCGACUGUUUACUAAAAACACAGCACUCUGCAAACACGAAAGUGGACGUAUAGGGUGUGACGCCUGCCCGGUGCCGGAAGAUUAAUUGAUGGGGUGCAAGCUCUUGAUCGAAGUCCCGGUAAACGGCGGCCGUAACUAUAACGGUCCUAAGGUAGCGAAAUUCCUUGUCGGGUAAGUUCCGACCUGCACGAAUGGCGUAACGAUGGCCACACUGUCUCCUCCCGAGACUCAGCGAAGUUGAAAUGUUUGUGAUGAUGCAAUCUCCCCGCGGAAAGACGGAAAGACCCCAUGAACCUUUACUGUAGCUUUGUAUUGGACUUUGAACGGAUCUGUGUAGGAUAGGUGGGAGGCUUUGAAGUAGAGUCGCUAGAUUCUAUGGAGCCGACGUUGAAAUACCACCCUGGUGCGUUUGAGGUUCUAACCUAGGUCCCUAAUCGGGAUCGGGGACAGUGCAUGGUAGGCAGUUUGACUGGGGCGGUCUCCUCCCAAAGCGUAACGGAGGAGUUCGAAGGUACGCUAGUUACGGUCGGACAUCGUGACGAUAGUGCAAUGGCAUAAGCGUGCUUAACUGCGAGACUGACAAGUCGAGCAGAUGCGAAAGCAGGACAUAGUGAUCCGGUGGUUCUGUAUGGAAGGGCCAUCGCUCAACGGAUAAAAGGUACUCUGGGGAUAACAGGCUGAUACCGCCCAAGAGUUCAUAUCGACGGCGGUGUUU